rnacentral:rRNA from 1 species
AGGCCUAACACAUGCAAGUCGAACGAGUGGCGGACGGGUGAGGAAUACAUCGGAAUCUACUCUGUCGUGGGGGAUAACGUAGGGAAACUUACGCUAAUACCGCAUACGAUUGAAUGAGCCGAUGUCGGAUUAGCUAGUUGGCGGGGUAAAGGCCCACCAAGGCGACGAUCCGUAGCUGGUCUGAGAGGAUGAUCAGCCACACUGGAACUGAGACACGGUCCAGACUCCUACGGGAGGCAGCAGUGGGGAAUAUUGGACAAUGGGCGCAAGCCUGAUCCAGCCAUACCGCGUGGGUGAAGAAGGCCUUCGGGUUGUAAAGCCCUUUUGUUGGGAAAGCGGUACCCAAAGAAUAAGCACCGGCUAACUUCGUGCCAGCAGCCGCGGUAAUACGAAGGGUGCAAGCGUUACUCGGAAUUACUGGGCGUAAAGCGUGCGUAGGUGGUCGUUUAAGUCCGUUGUGAAAGCCCUGGGCUCAACCUGGGAACUGCAGUGGAUACUGGGCGACUAGAAUGUGGUAGAGGGUAGCGGAAUUCCUGGUGUAGCAGUGAAAUGCGUAGAGAUC